GAUGAAGAACGUAGCAAAAUGCGAUAAGUAAUGUGAAUUGCAGAAUUCAGUGAAUCAUCGAAUCUUUGAACGCACAUUGCGCCCGCUGGUAUUCCGGCGGGCAUGCCUGUUCGAGCGUCAUUUCAACCCUCAAGCCCCCGGGUUUGGUGUUGGGGAUCGGCUCUACCCUUCUGGGCGGUGCCGCCCCCGAAAUACAUUGGCGGUCUCGCUGCAGCCUCCAUUGCGUAGUAGCUAACACCUCGCAACUGGAACGCGGCGCGGCCAUGCCGUAAAACCCCAACUUCUGAAUGUUGACCUCGGAUCAGGUAGGAAUACCCGCUGAACUUAAGCAUAUCAAUAAGCGGAGGA
rnacentral:misc_RNA from 1 species